AUUUUAAUAGCUUAUACAGAGCAUAAUAUUGAAGAUAUUAAGGAGAUUUAGGUCUUAGAAUA
rnacentral:tRNA from 1 species